rnacentral:rRNA from 1 species
UACCUAUCGUUGCUUCGGCGGGAUCGCCCCGGCGCCUUCGGGCCCGGAACCAGGCGCCCGCCGGAGGCCCCAAACUCUUAUGUCUUUAGUGGUUUUCUCCUCUGAGUGACACAUAAACAAAUAAAUAAAAACUUUCAACAACGGAUCUCUUGGUUCUGGCAUCGAUGAAGAACGCAGCGAAAUGCGAUAAGUAAUGUGAAUUGCAGAAUUCAGUGAAUCAUCGAAUCUUUGAACGCACAUUGCGCCCGCCAGUAUUCUGGCGGGCAUGCCUGUUCGAGCGUCAUUUCAACCCUCAGGCCCCCAGUGCCUGGCGUUGGGGAUCGGCGUGGGCGGCGACGGCUCUCCGGAGCCCGAACCAAUGCCUGCCGGCCCCGAAAUUCAGUGGCGGUCUCGCUGUAGUCCCCCUCUGCGUAGUAGCACAACUCGCAUUGGAGCUCGGCGGUGGCCAUGCCGUAAAACACCCCACUUCUGAAAGUUGACCUCGGAUCAGGUAGGAAUACCCGCUGAACUUAAGCAUAUCAA